GAUGAACGCUGGCGGUAUGCCUAACACAUGCAAGUCGAACGAGCUCUUCGGAGCUAGUGGCGGACGGGUGAGUAACGCGUGAGAAUCUGCCUUCAGGAUGGGGACAACAGUUGGAAACGAUUGCUAAAACCCAAUGUGCCGCAAGGUGAACUAUUAAUAGCCUGAAGAGGAGCUCGCGUCCGAUUAGUUAGUUGGUGGGGUAAAGGCCUACCAAGGCAGCGAUCGGUAGCUGGUCUGAGAGGAUGAGCAGCCACACUGGGACUGAGACACGGCCCAGACUCCUACGGGAGGCAGCAGUGGGGAAUUUUCCGCAAUGGGCGAAAGCCUGACGGAGCAAUACCGCGUGAGGGAGGAAGGUUUUUGGAUUGUAAACCUCUUUUGUUAAGGAAGAAGAAAGUGACGGUACUUAACGAAUAAGCAUCGACUAACUCCGUGCCAGCAGCCGCCGUAA
rnacentral:rRNA from 1 species